rnacentral:rRNA from 1 species
GAUGAACGCUGGCGGCGUGCCUAAUACAUGCAAGUCGAGCGAACGGACGAGAAGCUUGCUUCUCUGAUGUUAGCGGCGGACGGGUGAGUAACACGUGGAUAACCUACCUAUAAGACUGGGAUAACUUCGGGAAACCGGAGCUAAUACCGGAUGAUAUUUUGAACCGCAUGGUUCAAAAGUGAAAGACGGUCUUGCUGUCACUUAUAGAUGGAUCCGCGCUGCAUUAGCUAGUUGGUAAGGUAACGGCUUACCAAGGCAACGAUGCAUAGACGAACUGAGAGGGUGGUCGGCCACACUGGAACGGAGACACGGUCCAGACUCCUACGGGACGCAGCAGUAGGGUACCUGCCGCAGUAGGCGAGAGCCUGACGGAGCAACGCCGCGUGAGUGAUGACGGUCUUCGGAGCGUGAUACUCUGUUAUUAGGGAAGAACAUAUGUGUAAGUUACUGUGCACAGCGUGACGGUACCUAGUCAGAAAGCCACGGCUAACUACGUG